rnacentral:rRNA from 1 species
UACGUAGGGGGCGAGCGUUGUCCGGAGUUACUUGGCGUAAAUCGCACGCAGGCGGGCUGUGAAGUUUGGAGUGACAGUUGGUGGCUCAACCACCAAAGUGCUUUGAAAACUGACAGACUUGAGGGCUUCAGAGGGACACGGAAUUCCGGGUGGAGUGGUGAAAUGCGUAGAGAUCCGGAGGAACACCAAAGGCGAAGGCAGUGUCCUGGGGAGUACCUGACGCUCAGGUGCGAAAGCCAGGGGAGCGAACGGG